rnacentral:misc_RNA from 1 species
GUAGACUAUCAGAUGAGACAACUUCAGUCAAGACAGAUUCCUAUGGUUAAAGUCUUAUGGAGGAGUCAAUCUGUAGAGGAAUGCACUUGAGAGUCAGAGCGGGAUAUGCGCAGCAAGUACCCAUAUUUAUUUGAUAUGUGAUGCUGUGUUAUUGUUAUGUCUUGUAUAAAAUUCGAGGACGAAUUUUUUAUAAAGGGGGAAAAAUGUAAUACCCCAAAAUUUUAAGUAAUUAUUUUAUGUGCAGUAUGUGAGUUUUAACUAGUUGGAGGGUCCAAGAGGGGCCAGAUGAUGUUAUUGAGAUGUGAAUUUGAGACUUUAAUUUUAGAAGUGUGAUUUAAGCUACUUUGCAGGUUGGGUAAGUCCUAGAUAUAGGGGAAAUUCUGCGAAAUUUUUAACAAAAUCUGGGCUAUCUUUGACUCUUUUAAAGUUUUGUUUUAAGUAAAUAUUGAUAAAAUUUUUGAUAUAAUGUUUAGGUGAGCUGGGUUAGUCUUUCACCUCCCAGCCGCCGUAGUGACUAUCAGUUAAUUUGUGAAUAGAUAUUGAUUUUAUUUA